GUCUGAAGAGAUCUCAUAAACUCAGUUGGUAAAGCAUGAGACUCUUAAUCUCAGGGUUGUGGGUUUGAGCCCCACGUUGGGCA